rnacentral:rRNA from 1 species
AUUGAACGCUGGCGGCAUGCCUUACACAUGCAAGUCGAACGGCAGCACGGGGCAACCUGGUGGCGAGUGGCGAACGGGUGAGUAAUGCAUCGGAACGUACCUUUCAGUGGGGGAUAACGUAGCGAAAGUUACGCUAAUACCGCAUAUUCUGUGAGCAGGAAAGCAGGGGAUCGCAAGACCUUGCGCUGAUUGAGCGGCCGAUGUCAGAUUAGCUAGUUGGUGAGGUAAGGGCUCACCAAGGCGACGAUCUGUAGCGGGUCUGAGAGGAUGAUCCGCCACACUGGUACUGAGACACGGUCCAGACUCCUACGGGAGGCAGCAGUGGGGAAUUUUGGACAAUGGGGGCAACCCUGAUCCAGCCAUGCCGCGUGAGUGAAGAAGGCCUUCGGGUUGUAAAGCUCUUUCGGCCGGGAAGAAAUCGCACGGGCUAAUACCCUGUGUGGAUGACGGUACCGGAAUAAGAAGCACCGGCUAACUACGUGCCAGCCGCCGCGGUAA